GAGUUUGAUCCUGGCUCAGAUUGAACGCUGGCGGCAGGCCUAACACAUGCAAGUCGAGCGGUAGAGAGAAGCUUGCUUCUCUUGAGAGCGGCGGACGGGUGAGUAAUGCCUAGGAAUCUGCCUGGUAGUGGGGGAUAACGCUCGGAAACGGACGCUAAUACCGCAUACGUCCUACGGGAGAAAGCAGGGGACCUUCGGGCCUUGCGCUAUCAGAUGAGCCUAGGUCGGAUUAGCUAGUUGGUGAGGUAAUGGCUCACCAAGGCGACGAUCCGUAACUGGUCUGAGAGGAUGAUCAGUCACACUGGAACUGAGACACGGUCCAGACUCCUACGGGAGGCAGCAGUGGGGAAUAUUGGACAAUGGGCGAAAGCCUGAUCCAGCCAUGCCGCGUGUGUGAAGAAGGUCUUCGGAUUGUAAAGCACUUUAAGUUGGGAGGAAGGGCAGUAAAUUAAUACUUUGCUGUUUUGACGUUACCGACAGAAUAAGCACCGGCUAACUCUGUG
rnacentral:rRNA from 1 species